GUGCUCGCUUCAGCAGCACAUAUGCUAAGACGGGAACAAUACAGAGGAGAUGAGCAUGGCUCCCGUGCAAGGAUGACACGCAAAUUCAUGACGCGUUCCAUGGUUUU
ensembl:snRNA U6 U6 spliceosomal RNA